rnacentral:lncRNA from 1 species
AACAACAUACUGUAAAACGAGGGCCCUUCCAGGCCAACAGCACUGCAGUACGUAGAUUACCUGACCUGACAGACUGAGUUGAGUGAAAUUGAUAACACAUUUCACCAACUGUUCUACUCAUUAGAUUUAGGUACAUAAUAUAGAUUUGUAAUGUGCUUUUGCUCUGGCUAAUGUUCCUCUUGUCUGUUACGGAAAUACCAACCCCUCACAACCACUACCACCAAACGCACACCAUUAACUCAACCGAAUUGACUAGACAGCACAACAUUCCUAAUACCAACAACGUCACCUAAAGGGGCAGACACAUUGGGGACUUCAGGAGAAGAUCCAUCUGCUUCCCCUCAACAAAACAAUACAAUCCAAUACAUCUUACUGGCUGUUUUACCAGUCAUACUGAUCAUCGCUGGAGUGGCUUUGUACAUAUACAAGAGAAACAAAGGAAAGAAAAACACGGAGGAGAAAAGUAGUGGGGGCAAAACAGAAGGAGAGAAAAAGGAUGAUCCCUCUGUAAUGUAUGAUACGGUUCAAGAACCCAGAAACAACAACCAAGAGGAGACAACAACACCCCUCAGUGCUCCAGAGGAUCCCUCAGUGACAUACUCCACCAUCGUCCACAUGAAAGGAAAAAGGAACGCAGUAGUGAGUCUGGAGAGAGGUGGAGAAACAGAGUACGCCACUAUCAAGACAGGCACGUUCUCCUAGAGCCACUGUACAAUAGGCCUACAGCCAUCUCACAGCCUUUUCCUGCAGAGAGAUCUCAUAUUGGGCCCAGUAUCAAGAGGUUUGAUCUGGCACACAUGACGAUAAAUAUAUUUCACUCUCUACUAAGACAUGUUGAGUGGUUAUCACAGGAGAUCAGAUGUUAACCUACAACCAAAAUAAUAAAGUCCCAGAGAUAUAGGCAAGAUGAUUGGUGAAGCAAUAAGAUACCAUUUUGUUUUUGUGUAGCUGAGACAAUCAAAGCAACUUAUAUGGCUUAAAGUUCAGCCAGUUCUCUUUUUAUAUCGUUGUUGUGCAUUUAUUUUUAAAUCUGUAAACUUUUUGAAAUAGAGACGGAUGAUUUCAUACGUUUGAGAAAAGGGAAAAUGUGGUUUGAUGUGUCAAAGCAACAAAAAAAAAAGAUUUCACAAUCAGUAUUGCAAGAGGUUGCUAUCAUCCAUCUUAAUUUAUACACUAUACUUCUUAUUUUUCUGUCAAGUAACUGGUAUACACUGAGCAUUUCAUCAUUCUCGAAGUUGUGAAAACAACCUCAACAUGUUGUCAAAACCUGUUAGUUAGCUACAGUACUUCCUCUUUCGUGUAAUGGACAAAUCACAUAUUGUGGACUUCCUGAAGAGGGAAAGCAGUCUAACAAGGUCAUCAACUGAAGCAUACACUUCUGAAGUGCACAACUAACAGGGAAUGACAUGUUUAAGUGUGUCCUUUUCUUUGUCAUUUGACAAAGUCAGAUUCUCCAAUCAUAACUGUAAAUACACUGAACAAAGAUAUAUACGCAACAUGUAAAGUGUUGGUCCUACAGUAUGUUUCAUGAGCUGAAAUAAAAGAUCACAGAAAUGUUCCAUACACACAAAAAGCUUAUUUCUAUCCCAGGCCCACCCAUGGCUGUACCUCUGCCCAGUCAUGUGAAAUCCAUAAAUUAGGGCCUAAUUGAUUUAUUUCAAUUGACUGAUUUCCUUAUAUGAACUGUAACUCAGUAAAAUGUUUGAAAUUGUUGCAUAUUGCAUUUCUAUUUUUGUUCAGUAUACAUAUGAGGACACCGAGAUCCAGACUUCUGUAAUUUUAUCUAAUCUGACAAAUAAAUGAAUAACGCAAAUCUAUAUUUUAUACACAAUAAAGAAAAUAAAUGAUGGGUCAACAUCUAAAUAUUGCUUCCAGUGUCGAUCAACACUCACUAGAGAAGUAGGCAAAACUAGAAACGCCGCUCUGCGGACAAAAGGCAAUUUUAAAACUCUUCUGUGACUCCUGCCAUGUCUACAGACAUCCCCAAACAAACAGAAACGCAGUGGUGGAAAGAGUACUCAAUUGUCAUACUUGAGUAAAAGUAAAGAUACCUAAAUAGAAAAUGACUCAAGUAAAAGUGAAAGUCACCCAGUAAAAUACUACUUGAGUAAAAGUCUAAAAGUAUGUGGUUUUAAAUAUACUAAAGUAUCAAAAGUAAAUGUAAUUGCUAAUAUAUACUUAGUAAUCAAAGUAAAAGUAUAAAUAACUUCCAAUUCCUUAUAUUAAGCAAACCAGACGGCACAAUUGUAUUACCUUAUGAAUAGCUAGGGGCACACCCCAACACUCAGACAUCAUUUACAAACAAAGCAUCUGUGUUUAGUGAGUCCACCAGAUCAGACGCAGUAGAUGACCAGGGAUGUUCUCUUAAUAAGUGCGUGAAUUGGACCAUUUUCAUGUCUUGCUAAGCAUUAAAAUGUAAACACGUAGUUUUGGGUAUCAGGAAAAAUGUAUGGACUAAAAAAUACAUUAUUUUCUUUAGGAAUGUAGUGAAGUAAUAUAACUGGUAAAGUAAAGUACAGAUACCCCAAAAAAUGACUUAAGUAGUAUUUUAAAGCAUUUUUACUUAAGUACUUUACACCACUGCAAAAACGACUCUCUGAGAAUGAGUGCACAACUGGUAAAUGGUGCUGCCAAUGACUGGAACGAACUACAAAAAUCUCGGAAACUGGAAACGCUUAUCUCCCUCACUAGCUUUAAGCACCAGCUGUCAGAGCAGCUCACAGAUCACUGCACCUGUACAUAGCCCAUCUAUAAUUUAGCCCAUACAACUACCUCUUCCCCUAAUGUAUUUAUUUAUUUAU